CGGGUUCGCUAUUGCUCCUUGUCUUGCUGCAAGACACAUAAAGAGACAUGUGUUCCAAAAGAAGCCACAGCAUCUACAGAAGCUUCAUUUCCAGUUCUUUCAA